rnacentral:rRNA from 1 species
GAGUUUGAUCCUGGCUCAGGAUGAACGCUGGCGGCGUGCUUAACACAUGCAAGUCGAGCGAUGAAGUUUCCUUCGGGAAACGGAUUAGCGGCGGACGGGUGAGUAACACGUGGGUAACCUGCCUCAUAGAGUGGAAUAGCCUUCCGAAAGGAAGAUUAAUACCGCAUAAUGUUGAAAGAUGGCAUCAUCAUUCAACCAAAGGAGCAAUCCGCUAUGAGAUGGACCCGCGGCGCAUUAGCUAGUUGGUGGGGUAACGGCCUACCAAGGCGACGAUGCGUAGCCGACCUGAGAGGGUGAUCGGCCACAUUGGGACUGAGACACGGCCCAGACUCCUACGGGAGGCAGCAGUGGGGAAUAUUGCACAAUGGGGGAAACCCUGAUGCAGCAACGCCGCGUGAGUGAUGAAGGUUUUCGGAUCGUAAAGCUCUGUCUUUGGGGAAGAUAAUGACGGUACCCAAGGAGGAAGCCACGGCUAACUACGUGCCAGCAGCCGCGGUAAUACGUAGGUGGCGAGCGUUAUCCGGAUUUACUGGGCGUAAAGGGAGCGUAGGCGGAUGAUUAAGUGGGAUGUGAAAUACCCGGGCUCAACUUGGGUGCUGCAUUCCAAACUGGUUAUCUAGAGUGCAGGAGAGGAAAGUGGAAUUCCCAGUGUAGCGGUGAAAUGCGUAGA